CUUGACACUGAACAUUGAGCCUUGAUGUGUAGGAUAGGUGGGAGGCUUUGAAGCGUGGACGCCAGUCUGCGUGGAGCCGACCUUGAAAUACCACCCUUUAAUGUUUGAUGUUCUAACGUUGGCCCCUUACCGGGGUUGCGGACAGUGUCUGGUGGGUAGUUUGACUGGGGCGGUCUCCUCCCAAAGCGUAACGGAGGAGCACGAAG
rnacentral:rRNA from 1 species